UACAGAGGUCUCAAGCGUUGUUCGGAUUCAUUGGGCGUAAAGGGUGCGUAGGCGGCGCGGUAGGUCGGGUGUGAAAUCUCGGAGCUUGACUUCGAAACUGCAUUCGAUACUGCCGUGCUUGAGGACUGGAGAGGAGACUGGAAUUUACGGUGUAGCGGUGAAAUGCGUAGAUAUCGUAAGGAAGACCAGUGGCGAAGGCGGGUCUCUGGGCAGUAACUGACGCUGAGGAGCGAAAGCGUGGGGAGCGAACAGG
rnacentral:rRNA from 1 species